UACGUAGGGUGCAAGCGUUAAUCGGAAUUACUGGGCGUAAAGCGUGCGCAGGCGGUUUUGUAAGUCUGUCGUGAAAAUCCCCGGGCUCAACCUGGGAAUUGCGAUGGAGACUGCAAGGCUAGAAUCUGGCAGAGGGGGGUAGAAUUCCACGUGUAGCAGUGAAAUGCGUAGAGAUGUGGAGGAACACCGAUGGCGAAGGCAGCCCCCUGGGUCAAGAUUGACGCUCAUGCACGAAAGGCGUGGGGAGCAAACGAGG
rnacentral:rRNA from 1 species